AUACGGAGGGUGCAAGCGUUAAUCGGAAUUACUGGGCGUAAAGCGUACGUAGGCGGUUAUUUAAGUCAGAUGUGAAAGCCCCGGGCUUAACUUGGGAACUGCAUUUGAAACUGGGUAACUAGAGUUUAGUAGAGGGGAGUGGAAUUUCAGGUGUAGCGGUGAAAUGCGUAGAGAUCUGAAGGAACACCAGUGGUGAAGGCGACUCCCUGGACUAGAACUGACGCUGAGGUACGAAAGCGUGGGUAGCGAACAGGAUUAGAAACCCCAGUAGUCC
rnacentral:rRNA from 1 species